rnacentral:rRNA from 1 species
CCUACGGGAGGCAGCAGUGAGGAAUAUUGGUCAAUGGGCGCGAGCCUGAACCAGCCAAGUCGCGUGAGGGAAGACGGUCCUAUGGAUUGUAAACCUCUUUUGUCGGGGAGCAAAAGACGCCACGUGUGGCGUUCCGAGAGUACCCGAAGAAAAAGCAUCGGCUAACUCCGUGCCAGCAGCCGCGGUAAUACGGAGGAUGCGAGCGUUAUCCGGAUUUAUUGGGUUUAAGGGGUGCGCAGGCGGAAGAGCAAGUCAGCGGUAAAAUUGAGAGGCUCAACCUCUUCGAGCCGUUGAAACUGGUGUUCUUGAGUGAGCGAGAAGUAUGCGGAAUGCGUGGUGUAGCGGUGAAAUGCAUAGAUAUCACGCAGAACUCCGAUUGCGAAGGCAGCAUACCGGCGCUCAACUGACGCUCAUGCACGAAAGUGUGGGUAUCGAACAGGAUUAGAUACCCGAGUAGUC